rnacentral:rRNA from 1 species
AUUGAACGCUGGCGGCAGGCCUAACACAUGCAAGUCGAGCGCGAAAGUUCUUCGGAAUGAGUAAAGCGGCGGACGGGUGAGUAAUACAUGGGAAUCUGCCUGGUAGUGGGGGACAACGUUUCGAAAGGAACGCUAAUACCGCAUACGCCCUACGGGGGAAAGGGGGGAGUCUUCGGACCUCUCGCUAUCAGAUGAGCCCA